UCACAGUUGAACUCAGUUAAACAGCAGCUCUAAACCCUUAAACAACAUUACACUAUUAGAAAAUAUUUUACAAAAAUUUUAACUUACUUUAUCGAGUAAGUAUAGUGUUUUAUAAUUGGCUCAGUUAGUUUUCGUUUCGUUUGAUAAUGGAUGAUGUACCCGUGUUGCUAACAAAGUGUCCCUAUUAUAAUUUUCUACGAGAAUAUUGGUUGGGUUGUGAUGACAGAAGAAUUUCACCGCAAAAAUUGAUCUGCGACGCAGCCAAAGCUUGGCGGAUUCUUCGAAGAUCGGAGCGUUUAAUGUUCGAAGAGGAUGCUUAUAUAGGGGCUCGUCUAGCCGUUGAUCUGUUGUUACCUAUGACUAGCCACUGCCGAAUGAAUGCGAAUAGAAUUGCAAAAAAGUCCGCGAAGGCUAAGACAAGUGCCAACGGGAAAUUGAAUGCGAUGCAUCAACCGAGGCGGAAACCCGUGCGAGUUCGAACGAAAAAAUAAAACCAAAUCGGACGUCGUUCCAGUUAGUCAUAGGAAAUUUUACUCGCUGAGGAACCCACAUACACAUACAGCGUAGAUUUCGUCACUAGUAAAUAUGAAGGGUGAAGAUCAUAUAUAGGAGUUGGAUAAAUUGAAUCAGAUAUUCAUUAUUUUUGCUCGUUUGCGAAGUAAAAAGUAUAUUGCUUGCCAACAAUUAUUAAUGUUGUAUGUAUCAAAUUAUAUUGUGGCUUUCUAUACA